AGUACCAAUGUUGGGCCUUGUCAGACCAGCUUUAAUCUAAAACUAAUUAUCAAUGGGGUCCCCAUAACAACCCCGAUCGUGUUAGGAGCGCUCAAUUAUGGAACAUAACACCGGUUGCCGAAACUAAGGGGGCAAAGGUGGAACAAAACACGAGGCUAGAAAGGCCAAGCCUUCCACCUUUUACCAAUUAUAUAGGUGCAUUAAAUUAAAUAGCAUUUAAUAUGGUGAUAUAACAAGGAACCUAUGUUAUCACAUGGAAGCAACUGCACCUGCAACUAGCAACGCUAACACAUGGUUACGCAAGCGAUAACAUAGCCAAUCAGUGGUUUGCUAGGUUGUGAACAGGUUGACGGUUUCAUGGCAAUGUUGAGAGGCUGAUAUUUAAUAGGUGGUAGGCAACGAGACAUAACGACAAAGACGAUAAUACUAGCAUGGCAAUGAUAGUAAUGGUAUCUAGGAAAAUGGCCAUCUUGCCUGAGAUCCCGCUUGGAAGAAGAAUGACUCCGUGAAGCAGACGAACCGAUGUAGUCGAACUGGUCCUCACUUUCCGACACGCUUGCGGAACUCUAUCGGGACGAAGGAAACCAGAAACAAGCAUCAACACAGAUAUUCACCACGCGAUGCACAACACAUAUGAUGCAUGAACGGUUGAAUACAUGCGGAACAUGGCAUGGCAAUUCACACAAUCAAACACUACACAUUAAGUGAAGUUCAAUAUGCAAUGAGUUGCAUAUUGACGAAACCCCACAUACGGAUUAUUUAAUUCUAUCCCGGUUAGGUACACGGCAAUGUUAAUUGUUGGUUAAACAUGGCAAGAGGUUAAGCGUAAUUAAACUACCUAUCUAGACAUUUUAAAUGAGGUCGGAAAUGACAUAUAGCACCUCUGAAACGACCUCACAUGUUAAUUUAUAAUUCUGUCUAGAUCUGAACUAAAGCGUUUAAAUGUUUGUUAAAAACCAAAAUAAAUAGGUUCACGUGAUUCUACGCGUCAUUACAAUCAAUUUACACAUAGAGAACAUCUCCAACGGAGCUACGGUUCAAAAGAUACGAACACCGGAAGAUAUGAUGGCAUGAAUGCAAAAAUGUGUGCAUCGACAGUCACGAGCAUUUCAAAACACACAACCAGCAAGGUAAUAUGAAACUACACGAGAUUCUAAGCAAGUUUCAUAUAGGACACGAUCAAAACGGAGCAACGGUUCAACAACUACGAGCUAAAUAAGAAAUCACUACAAUCUGCCAAAAUCAGCUACAUAACAUUUUCUACACCCCACAACUACGAGCUACACAAAUCCAAAAUGCUCAACCAAGGCAUGAGGCGGUAGAGGGCAAUAUGCACUACAACAUACUACCAAUAACACCCUGCAUGGAAGCAUGGAUCACUAGGAAAAGAAGUCACAAAAUGACAUCUCACACACUGUUUCAGACUUGGUGAAAACCAUAGUUUAUGAAAGUGCAGUUUUCGAUCUGAAGGCAUAUUGACAACAGCAAAACCAUAAGCUACAUGACUCCAAAUGGCAUGAAAAUUCACAGCAUGCUAUAGAAUCCUAAAGUCUACAACUAACUCCAUGGCACCAACCUCAAAAGAGGUACAGAUCACCAGAUAAACUCAUGCAAAGACAGCAACAAAAUAUAACAGAUUUUAGACUUAGAAAUAUUUCAGCAUCUACAAAACAACACUAUUUUCUAGCAUGUUGAGAGCAAGCAAACCACAACUAAACAUGGAUUUCUAUUGCAACCAAAAUUACCAGAGGCUAGCCUACACAUCCAAGGCAUAUCUCUAGUUGACAACUCCUUCAUAUCAAGCACGGAUUAAAUCACACAAAAUAAACAAACGGGAAUCACGGCAAAAUAUCACGCGCACUAACUUGAUCGAAAGCUAAAACUAAAUGCACAGUUAAAUUUUAUGGAUUUUUCUAACCCAAAAACGUAUAUAACAUGAGGGGUUGCAAAACAAAAAUAAUGCCACACGAAUAUGCGAAAAUAUGUUCUACACACGAUAUAUGAAACUAGCUACAGAAUCCUACAUGCAAAAAUACAAACCACUACUCUAAAGUACAUGGCAAAAUGUCCCUAAAAAACAUGAGCAUUUUAUCUAUGGGAUUCGAGCAAUCCGGACAUGCACUGAAAUAUAUACGGGACAAUUCCCUAUUUGGACAGCACGCAAAACUAGGCAUACGACAGGCCAAACUAUUUCAAACAUGCAUGCAAGUUCCAAAAUAUUAAUCUACACGGAAAACUACACGAUUUACAUAUAUGACUCGCCCCGAUCCGACAUACAGUUUAAUAACUACGGUCAUUUUAAUAUAUACCAAUUUUUCUGAAAAUCCUAAUUCACAAGGAAAAACCUAAAAAAAUCUACGGGCUGAAUUGGCCAAGGCCUAACCAGAGCUCUGGGCGCACAAUGCCUAAACUACGCACAGGUGGGACUUAGCGGGGCGGUGCUCACCUGAGGGGCCAUGGCCCAUGAGAGGAGGCAGCAGGCCUGGGCCUUCGGGCAAGGCAGGGAGGCGGACCACGGGGGGGGGGGGACCUGGCCUGGCGCGGACUGGGCUAGACGAGGCGCUGGGGAGGCCGGCUGGCGUCAGCCUAGGCCGGGGUGAGCCGAGGCCCACACGGGCGAUGCGGGCGGGCGAAGCGGCUGGAUCGUCGUGGCCCUCCCGUGCUCCUCACGGCAGGAGCCAUGGCGGCGGCGGCAGCAGCACAGACCUGACGAAGGGGCUCCGGUGAUGGGAUCGAGGGGGCGGCGACGGAUCUGGACGGAUCCGGGCAUGGGAGCCCCAUUCCCGGCGGCGGCGGCGAGCUUUGGGCGGAGGACGGCACGGGGAGAGGCGAGGCACGACGGUGGCUGAGCAAGGGCGGCGAGGUUCGGCUUGCCGGCAGUGAGCGUGGCGGCGCACGAAGUGCGGUGGCGACCUGGAGGAGCUGCUCGGCUGCGGUCACCUCAGGCACGCGGGCAACAGCUCGAGGAGGAGCUGGGGAGGCAGGGACCUGCGGGAGGCGCCCUGGGCCGUUGGAUCGAGUGGCUUGGGCUGGAUCAGAUCUGGUGGCUCAGGAGGUGGGUGGAGGCUGGCUGGGGCGCGGAUUACGAGGCAGAUCUAGGGUUUGCAUGAAAAACGAGGGAGAGAGAGUGGUUGUCCAAAAAUGACAUGGGGUCCUAUUUAUAACAAUGGGGGGCUAGGUUUAGCAGUUUUUCGGCCUGGUUUCAACCGCACGAUUGGAAUCAAACGGUUUUGCACGUGGGACGGGCUAAGUGACCGUGUAGAGUAGGUUAGCCGGAGAUAAGAGGGACAAUGGGCACCCGGCAACGUAUUUUUAAACACCGAUAAAACGCCCGACGAUAGACCAAAUAAGCUGCUACGGUCGACCGUUCGGGUACGAGACGGACUUUGAUUGCGACGAAAUUUGACACGCGGCCUACCUAUUAUAAAACACGACCGCACACCAAGUUUCAACCCAAUCAGAGAAAGUUUUAUACACGCUUUUGAAAACAAGAUUUAACGGGCGCGUCCGAGUAUGGUCGGGCUCAGAACGGACAACGUCGAGAACCAGCAACUAAUAAUGGAUGCAACUUUUGAAAACUAGCGGCAACGGGAUGCCGAUGCAAUGCAGAUGAUGCGCAUGAUGCGAUGAUGAUGCGACAAAUAAAAACAACCACAUGACGAAAACGGAAUAAAGAGGGAAUCUUCUAGAAUGUUGGUCUCGGGCUGUCACAACUUAGUACCCUAGAUAUUGUUCUUCGUGGAUGCUUUGGCGUCCUAGAAGCUUGGUGGUGUCUCGGAGCUCAAUCAUUGUGGUGUAAAGCUCUGGGCAAGCGUCGGGGUCUCCAAUUAGGUUGUGGAGAUUGCCCCGAGCAAUUUAUACGGGUACCCGUGACCGCCCCCAAGGUUUGCCAUUUGUACGGGUUCGGUGACCGCCCUCAAGGGUCCUUUAGUGGAAUCACGAUAUCUUGCAUUGUGCGAGGGCGCGAGGAGAUUACGAUGGCCUUAAUGGCAUCUUGGGGAGCAUUGUGCCUCCACACCACUCCAACGGAGAUUAGCAUCUGCAAGGGUGUGAACUUCGGGAUACAUCAUCGUCUCCGCGUGCCUCAAUUAUCUCUUACCCGAACCCUUUACUUUGUGAUAGCCAUAUUGUUUUUUGUCAUAUAUCUUGCUAUCACUUAGUUGUUUAUCUUGCUUAGCAUAAGUUGUUGGUGCACAUAGGCGAGCCUAGUUGUUUUAGGUUUUGUGCUUGACAUAUUAAACGUUAGUUUUAUUCCGCAUUUGUUCAAGCCUAAACCGUAAUUAUUUUAAAGCGCCUAUUCACCCCCCCUCCUUUAGGCGACAUCCACGUCCUUUCAACACCUUCUCGCAAUUGAAUGUGCAUGACACCACGGUUGGGAAAUCGUUCUACUAGUGUUGCCAGUAGUUGACAUCUCCUGGGGCAACCAUGAUGGUGGCAUGAGGAGUUGGUUCAUGACAGAUUCUUCUUCGUCGCCUGCAUGUCAUGUCCCUUGGUUUGUCGUUGCGUCUUCUUCUUACAUAGAGGCAUUGCUCUGGUAGAUGCUUGAUUGGGUGGCAAGUAAGAGAUUUAUUGCUAAUCAACAAGUUAAUCAAUCAUUUAAUCAAUUAAUCAAGCUAUUUAUCGGUUUAUCGUCUACUCGAUGACCAUACGAGUAGGAAUUAAUCGGCAAGUUAUAAUCGUAUGAAUUCUUCAAUAGGGUAUAGAGGUGAAGUCAGAGCUACACGUCAAGAGGCGGCUCGUUGGCAACAAUAGCCUCCAAAGGUAGGUUCGGUGUUUAGCAAUAUUGAGUGACCACAUCUAGCGAUGUCGGUGCAAGAUAUUUUUAUUUCGCAUGUGAGGCUCGUCGCGAAGUAGGGGAUGCCUACUCAUCAAUGCCUCCGACCGAUUAUUUGUCAUAAGCCAACAAGGACUCAUGCAUCUUUCACGGUAAAGCCUCUUCAUUGGUCGUCUCUCAUAUAGCAAAAAGGCUAAACGUAUAAAGAGUUACGUAUGGUUAUGAUUCUUUCUUUCUUACUAACAUUUUCCCUCCUGAUUUUUGAGGGGAUGGGGUUCUCAUCCUCCUUAAUCUCCAAUUAAAAUUCACCUGCGUGUAAAAUCCAUGUAAACCUAUCUAUGUGUAGUGUUACUGUUAGUCUCAUUUGCUGGGAGAGGCGUCGAACAUGACCAUUGCUGGAAACCUCGACACGAUUAUUCUCUUCAAUGAUGUGUGGGGGUCUUUGUGCUCUAGAGUGUCUAGCUUUUGUUGGCAUGAUGUGCUAAUUUUUGCUCGAGUCUUUGUUCAUUAACGAGGUGAUUUUCUUUUAAAUUAAGAGAAAUACUUGAGUUCAUCCGACGGAUGUAUCUGUUUGCGUCAUCCAUCUUUAUAAUCAUCGGAUCUGUUAUUGAUUAGACGAUCGAAAGGCAACCUCCGCCACUUCAUUUUCUUGCAACUUGACUUGUGCUUGAGAAGCGUUUUCGCAACCCGAUCCUUAUAGCAGACCGUGUAGUCGCCGAGCUCAUUAGAAACAGCAUUCCUGUUGCUAGAAAGAUUUCUAUAAUAUCAAUGGUUUUGCAAAACUUUCUUCCGUAGUAGGUGAAGGUAAAAAAUAAUUCAGCAACAUUAACUUUGUUGCAAAACAACUUUUGCAACAAUACCUGUGUUACAAAAAAUCUGCAACAUGAAAUCUAUUGCAAACAUCUAAGUGCAACAUUAUUCUUGUUACAAGCCGGCAGUUAAAUAUGACAACCAUCCACAUUUAAUACAAUGGCUCGCUAGACGGCAAAUCUUUUAAAAAAAUCAAUCGACCGACGGGUAGCGUUUUUCUUAAAUUAGUGAAUAGAACCGAAAUUUUGUGAGAAGCUGAAAAAUAAAAACACUAUGCCACGGUUUACCUAAAAAUGGCAACUUUACUUAAUGUUGGAUAGAAAAGUUGACCAGUAGGCUAGCAUGAGGCCAAAUAUCAUGGAACAUCACUUGUACCAGAGAUUUGGCGACCUCGCGAUUAACGGUUACUUACGAUAAACUUUGAGGUUGGCCAAUGUACAACCACCCAGGGAAUUGCAUGAACCACCAACUAUUGGUGCUGAUUUUGCACAAAACACUUACUCUACAAGUUUAUUGCACAUAUAACAGCACAUAUAGCUGUAAUCCAUUGUGGUUCGGUCUAAUCCAACGUUUGAACAAGUUCAUGUGAUUUUAGGAUUGGCCCCGCUUUUAUGGGCACCCGUGGGCAAAAGAAAACAGCCACCACAGCCGACCAACUAAAACUAUCAAUGUCUGCCAAACAUUUGAGGUUCAACUAAGCUUAAGGACUCCUUUGAUACAAAGAAAUUUCAUUGGAUUUUUGGAGGAUUUGGAUCCUUAGGAUUUUUUCCUACGAUGGUCGUUUGAUUCGUAGGAUUGAAAUCCUUUGAAAUUUUUACAUAGGAUUCGUUUGUACUACAUUUUGAAGGAAAAUUUCCAUCCAUUCAAACCUCUUUGCAGAAUUCCUUUGUUUUUCCUGUGCUAUCAAACACACUUUCAAAUCCUGUAGUGUAGAAAAGGACAUGCCACUCUAUUCCUACGUUUUUCCUAUUCCUACAUUUUGACAAUCCUACGAAUCAAACAGGCCCAAUUUUUCUUGAUUAGUACUGAGUACACGAAGGAUUUAGUGAAAUAUUUGUGCACAUUUGUAGAAAUGUAAGAUUUCGAACGAGCGAACAGAAGUUGUCAAUAUCUUCCAGACCUCUAGUUCAGAUGAGUUGAGAUAUUCCUAGGUUAGUGCUGGCCACAUUAAUGGUCAACUAGAUUUUUUUAAAUGUUGAAUUUAAAACCAAAAUUUGAAUGAGACAACUAAAACUGUCAACACCUACCAAGCCAUUGGUCCAAAUAAGUUACCUUUUUCAAGAAUAGUACUCGAUACAUGUGUGAUUUACUGAAUUUCUCUCGUGUUUUUCUGGAAACGUUGAUUUUUUUGAGUAAAAAUAUAAAUGGACCGUGUUUUGAGUAAAAUAAAAAUGGAUCACAUCCAUACGCCGAUUGGGAGUCCUUACUUUGAUCUGUUGGGUGAUGUGACCGAUUUUCAUUGCCACGUGUGAAACAAUGUGAAAAUUGCAAUGGGUUAAAACAAUGUGACGUUUUGCACAACGACCCGUAGGGUAGGUGCUCUGUACAAAAUCAACACCGAUAGUUGAUGGUAUGUGCAAUUCCCUCCGCCAAACGCAGCAUGAAAAUUACCUCCUCGGAUAGAAAUAAACAGUGCCAAACCAAAGCCCCGCCGUAUCAAAACAGUUGAAUAUAAGCAGCGAGUUAGAAAAAAACAGUAGCAUACGAGAAGCUGGUGCGUGAUAAUGCAGAUUCGGAUUCCACGUCCACCCACGCACUGAGUCACGGAGCGAAGCUUGCAGGCAACUUCCGGGCUAGCAGACGCCGCCGCCCGCCUUUGUUCCUGGCCACUACUUGCUUCCGGUCCGUGUCAUCGAGUCGACACGCGAGAGGAACCGAGCCACCGGCGGGCCGUGUGAGCCGAGCACUCGAUCCCCGGCCCAGCCACGCAACCCCCCUCAUUCCCGGUCCAACUCCAACGUAUGUGGAGAAGACGGGGUACGCGACAGGAGUUCACCUCGAUGCAUCUAUCCACGCUACACGCGUCCGGCCGGGACGGGUUUGUGGAGGCUAGACGGAGGAGAGGAGGCUCCACGUUUGUCGGCAACAAAGCGGUGGCUGCAGAACAAAUCCAUCCGCGUCGGUCAAUGCGUUUUGGAAUUUGAUGCGGUUGCAAGGAGGCUGUGGAAUCCCUCUCUCCCUCUCUCUGCGGUUGGGAGGAGAUAUGGAUCAGUGGCUGGCUGGACGGCGUGGCGACGCGCUCGGAACAUAUUCCGCGGCUCUCUUAUUACGGAGGCAGCAGCAUAUCAUGGCGGCCAAGCAACGCAUCGGCCAACUCCUGGUGGGAUCACAUCAUCAGGAUGCGAAUUCCCCGGUGAAAACAGCGACAUCACGCAGCGGAGACAAAACAUCAGCCGCGUACGUUUCUGCCAAAGAAAAAUGAGGGGAGAAGAAAGGGAGCUUUCUUUGGCAUGGUGAAAAAAAGACUGCCGCAUAUGCGAUUGGGAGAUGCCUCCCUCCCCGCUCGGUGCUCAAUACUACAAGAUGGCAAGCCUUUUUUGUGCACUUUUUUAAAGCAAGAAAGGGGCCGGCGAGAAACGAGACGGCUGCUUGUAAAAUAUUGAUUUGCUUUCAACGGUGAGAGUCGGCGUAAAGGAAAUGGCGGCAUAUCGGCAAAGCCUAAUGGAAUCGUCAAGGCGUUUAUGCACGUCGUGAUCACGUGAGAUAUGGGUCCCCGAACGAUUUGGCGGGAUCGUACUAGGUGAAAGUCGGGCGGGCGGCCGAUCAAAUAAAUAAAAAACGAACGAAAUCGCCGUUCGUUCGUUUAAGUCAGAUGCACGGACGAUCAAUUCAAACAAACAAAAAACGAACGAAAUCACUGAUGGUUUGGGUCGGAGUUGGUCUGCUACACGACGUGAUCGUUUCGUGAUCAAACGAUCAGUGCCCGACAAAUCGUUCGGGGAGCCGUCGCUCUCGCACAUAUCUCCGGCUCGGGUCACGCCAUCAUCCAUCAAUCCUUGUGGAUCUUAACAGAUUGGAUACGUAAAACAACUUGGUUGCUCUUCACUUUUAGCGCCAAGAUUGGAUGCGCACAAGCACACGCACUUCCCUUCUCCAAAGGGCAGUUCGUUCGCGGGUAGUAAAAAGUUUCUCAGGUGAUUGGCGAAAGGUAGUAAGGCCACGUGCAAGUAACAGUGCGCCAGCUGCUUUGCCUACAUCCAACUCACCGAGCCGCCAUCCUUCAAUGAAUUAUUCAGGCAUCGAACCGCCGUCUUGAAUUAUUGGAGCGGUUGCACGAAUCAGAAACGCAGAAGAUAAGCAUCAAAUAGGACCCGUCAAACAAAAGAAUCAAUUCGUGCAUGUAUCCCACGCGCAGUUUGUUUACUCCUGCUUGUACGAUGUGAUAAUAACAGGACUAAGCAAAACUUGCAUCUAUUAGGAGUAGUAACAAGAAUUACAGAAUUAAAAUAUGAUUUGAGCAGAAAGGAAUGCAGUAGGACAAGCUCGUCUUAGAUAAAAAAAAUGCUUAUUUAUAAGUUGUGACAGAUUUUCUCCAAACAGUACGCUCAUUGUGGCAGACGCAGCAAACCACCUAGAGCUAAUAGUUUAUUCAGAGUAGCAAUAGCCUGGCCGGCUGCUUCACAGUAACCAAAACGACAAACGGAAGUCAGAACGAAUUCCACAGACGGAACAGCGACAGCAAAAAUCAUCUUAUCACUCGCACAGCACCGCGCCCUCCUCCAGAGAAUCCUCCUCCGCCCGCCAUGCGAGCAGGUUGGCAAGCUUGCCUUCCUUGACCAGAGGGUGGCCGCUCUCCACAUUCUCGCCCUCGAAGCAGUGGAAGACGGACCUGGGCGACCCGGCGGAGACAGCAACCUCUUCAUUCGCGGUAAAGCUCUGGUAGAUGAGGACGCCCCCGCAGGGGAGCUCCUGCUCCACGAUGUUGUUGCAGUCGUAUGCCUCGGCGUCGAGCUUCUUGCCCCAGGUGGCGGCGUGGCCGCGGCCACCGAAGAUGGUGACCGCCACAGAGAACUCUGAAGGGCCGAAGCACCGGAGAACCCUCUUGACGAUGUCGCCGUAGACCAGGGCGGAGGCGUCCAUGCCCUGGACCUCAUAGCUCGCGUAGCUGAAGCCGUCCUCGGGGGUCACAUGGAUGGUGGAGAAGGCAGAUCCGUUGAUGGCGUUCAUGGAGUAGCCGCAGGGCUCGAAGUCGAAGUCGCACACCUCCAUCUCAGGGAUGAUGUUGGAGAUACCAGAGAGCUUGGUCAUCUCCUUGGCACAGGAGACGUGGCCAUCAGCAGAAGUCUUGAAGAAGACAGAGGCCUUCUUCUUGUCAAGCCCAGUCAUGCACAUCUCCAGGGUGACCAUGGGCUGCUCGGGUUGCUCAGUGGCAUAGUAGAUGUGCCACUUCUGGCCAGGCUUCGCUGGGUCGCCAAUCACAUAGGCAUUGCCACCAGACUUCAGGUGGCCGAAGUAGCGGUUCAGGACAUCAACCUCCUCAGAGAAGCUCCUGUGGGGAGCAGGCUGUGCGCCGGGGAAGAUGAACAUCCCACGGGAGUACUUCACGGCAGCAAGCGGCAUGCACAGCUCCUCAGCUAGCUCAAGAAUCCUUGGAAUGGUGAGCAGAAGCAUGGUAGUCCCACAGGUCUUGAUCACAAUCUUCUGAGAGUAGAUAAACAGGCUCGACUCAGAUAGCACAUACGAGUCAAAGUCCUUGUUGGAGAGCUCGGACACAAUGGUGCACCGUGCAAGAUCAAGAACAGAGUCAAUCUGGGCCCUAGAGAGGGCGCGCAGGCCACGACCAUGAGGGUCAGCAAAGAUUGAUGCCUCGUUGAAGGUGAUCUCGAGGCGCUUCUCGUAGCCCUCAAACCCGAUCGCAGAGGUCGGGGCGGCCAUUGUUGCAGUUUGAGUCAGAAAGCAGAGCAGAGAGGAACAGAGGGAGAGAGACUAGAGAACUGGUCGAUUAUCGUGAAGCAGCAAGCCAG
rnacentral:lncRNA from 1 species